rnacentral:lncRNA from 1 species
UGAACGAUAAUGGCGAUAUUGUGGUGGUCCGGUGAUGAUGAAAAGGCAGCCAUAUGAUAUGAAAGAAAAAAUGUAAAUUGUUAAAUCUUUUUCUUUUAUAAAGAAUGAAAAGAAUUCCAAAAAAUAAAAGGAAAUAAAAUAAAACAAAAGAGAAAAAUAGGAAAAAGAAGCAUAUCAGAAAUAUUAGUGUUGAAUGGAAAAGAUGAUGGUGAGGGAGGAGGAGGGGUUGCUUUUUUUUAAAAAAAGUUAAGAAUUAUCAUUUCAUGACAAAGAGAUGCCAAGUGUCGCUGGAAGAAAAAAAGUGU